UACGUAGGGUGCAAGCGUUAAUCGGAAUACUGGGCGUAAAGCGUGCGCAGGCGGCUUUGCAAGACAGAUGUGAAAUCCCCGGGCUCAACCUGGGAACUGCAUUUGUGACUGCAAGGCUAGAGUACGGUAGAGGGGAUGGAAUUCCGCGUGUAGCAGUGAAAUGCGUAGAUAUGCGGAGGAACACCGAUGGCGAAGGCAAUCCCCUGGACCUGUACUGACGCUCAUGCACGAAAGCGUGGGGAGCAAACGAGG
rnacentral:rRNA from 1 species